CGCUAACAAUGAAUAGCUGAUGCCAGGUUAAUAUGGUUAUUUUUCUAUAGAUUUUAAGAAAAAUCAAAUAACUUACUUUUAAAAAUGUAUUUAUUUUGCACAUUUUGAUUUAGUUAUCACAGCUAUGAACCAUGAUUUUGUACUUGGUGAUUGGUUUGCAGGGUGCAUUGCUCAAUAUAGACAGCAUCUAUUCGACGACAUUGACAAUUUUUUUUUAUUUAUUUUACUCUACAAUUAGUUAAAAUACAUUUAUUUUUGCAAGUAUAUAAUUUAUUAACUUAAUCCUCAAGUCACAUAUAACAUUAUAUAUAUACAAAAAUACAAUAUGCUAAUUUAAAAAAAAAAAAAAAAAUAUUUAGCUAUACACCAAAACAACAUUGUUGAUCUGAUAGAAAAAAAUUAUUUAGCUAUCACCAAAACACAUUGUUGAUCUGAUAGAAUGUUUCAUUAAAAAAUCACCUUAUUAAUCUGCAAAAACAACUAGUAGCCUAGGUAGCACACAACGACAGGGGUGUAGUGCAUGGAUGGAGGAGCUCAGAACUUCGGGCUGUUGUGAAGAACCCUCCCCGACCGCGCGCCCGUCAGCUGCUCUCGCUCAUUCGAUCUCGCACGCUGAAGAUGGCGGAGCAGCGCGAGCGGCGAAGGAUGCGCUCACGAGACAUCAAAGUUCUUUCUGUGGCGUUCAGAUGAAUCGGAUUUUCGCGACCGCUCUGAAAGUGGACAUUUCAAACGGAUGGACAGGAGGUUCUGAUAGAAAACGUUUCUUUCAUGCCUUGAUUGUUCAAGCCGAUACAUGAAGCGGCAGAAGGUUUUGAGCCAAAGCAACAACACCCUAAAGAACAAACAAAUGAGCUGUCUUUUCACAUGAUGCCUUCAGCUACUUACGCAUAGGGUUAGUAUAUGGACGAGAGGAGUACCAUACAAAAAGAGAGACACCGGAGCGGCGAUUCCGUCGCAGGCUAUGCAGGCCAUGGUGACCUAGAGUCAAUAGUCGUUUCCUGGCAGGACAACUUGAUUCCAGUUUAAUCCCUGCUUGCUCUCUUUGUCUUCUACCUCCCUACCAGAGUGAGGUGCCACCCUCUCUCUGUUCCUGCCA
rnacentral:lncRNA from 1 species